GACACGAUGGCCGAGUGGUCUAAGGCGAAGGUUUUAAGUUCGGCUUGUCUCAUGGCAUUACUUUCACCUUUACAGAAAUGUGCGUGGGUUCGAACCCCACUCGUGUCA